rnacentral:lncRNA from 1 species
ACGGGUUGGGCCCCUGGUUCAUGGCGUUGAGGUUCUGCGUCGCCUCCACCUCCGACUGCCCGCCGGAGAGGAACAUGAUGCCGGGGACGGAGGGCGGGAUGCGGCGGUGGAGGAGCUUCAGGGUGUACUCGGCGACCUGCUCCGGCGUGGCCCGGUCCUUAGCCUCGGCGCCCGGCGUCACCAUGGAUGGCUUGAGCAGGAUGCCCUCGAACAUGACGUUGUUCUCCGCCAUGGCGUAGAAGGUCUCGGCCCACACCUUCUGCGCCACCUCGAAGGUCCGCUCGAUGCCGUGCUCGCCGUCCAGCAGGAUCUCCGGCUCUACGAUCGGCACAAGUCCGUUGUCCUGCUCGGUCGAUUCCAUUCCAUCGGUGUUAGCUUUUAUUAAUUAGCUGGAUGAACUAUCUCCAUGGCUAGAAGCAAGCAAGAAGGCGUACCUGCGAGAUGGCGGCGUAGCGGGCGAGCCCCCAUGCGGCCUCCUUGACGGCGAGCUCGGAUGGCCCGUUGGGGAUGCUGACGACGGUGCGCCACUUGGCGAAUCGGGCGCCCUGCUGGUAGUAGGCGGCCUCGCGGGCGGCGAGGCCGUCGAGGCCCUGGCACCAGGACUCGUCGUUGGAGCCGGCGAGCGGGACGAGGCCCUUGUCGACCUUGAUCCCGGGCACGAUGCCCUGCUCGGUGAGGAUGUCGACGAUCCGGCGGCCGUCGACGGCGGACUGGUAGAGCGUCUCCUCGAAAAGGAUGGCGCCGGAGAUGUAGUUGCCCAGCCCCGGCGCGGUGACCAGCAGCGUCCUGUACGCCUGCCGGUUGGCCUCCGUGUUCUCCAGCCCGAUGGAUGCCAGCCGCUUCCCGCACGUCGCGUUCGACUCGUCCAUGGCCAGGAUGCCGCGCCCAGGCGACGCGAUCGUUUUCUGCAACUCACCAUGUCAUCAUUAUUUCUUUCAGCAAGCAAGAUGGCGAUAGUGACAGUUUCGAUCGGCCACUAGUGAAGAAACGACGAACGCACCGCUGUCUUGACGAGCUCAUCGGCGUAGGCGCUGGCGCGGACGACCACGGAGACGGUGACCGGCCGGGGCGCGGUGAGCUGCCUGGCGGCGCCCCAUUCCGACUUCUUGGGAAGGAAGGAGGACUUGAGCAGGGUAGCAGAGGCCAUCUUCUUCUUCCUCGAUGCUCUUGCUGUCUUCUGAAGUUCAGCUCAGCUCAGGCUGGCAGUGGCCUCAGGUUCACACCAGUGAACAACGAAUGGAGUGUCUC